GAAUUAUUCUCUCUAAAACCUUCACAACCGAAACUGUGUGUGUAUAAAUAGUUAAAUACAUAUACACACGCACUACACACACUUCUUUUAUAUUAAUUUAAUCUCUGAGAGUUGGGGGGAGCUUUUUCUACAGUAGGUGGUGGUUGAAGAAGGGAGGCGGCAAAAAAAAAAAAAAGAAGGAAUGGGAGUGCCGGCGUUUUACCGGUGGCUGGCCGAUCGGUACCCGUUGUCCAUCGUCGACGUGGUGGAGGAGGAGCCGAGGGAGGACGCAAACGGUGACGUUGUACCUGCAGAUGUCUCGAAGCCAAAUCCUAAUGGAAUAGAGUUUGAUAACUUGUAUUUGGAUAUGAACGGGAUUAUUCAUCCGUGUUUUCACCCAGAAGGCAAGCCUGCGCCGACCACCUAUGAUGAUGUCUUCAGAUCAAUAUUUGAUUACAUAGACCACUUAUUCUCACUGGUUCGCCCAAGAAAGCUUCUUUAUAUGGCAAUUGAUGGCGUUGCUCCUAGGGCUAAAAUGAACCAGCAACGAUCUAGGCGUUUUAGGGCUGCUAAAGAUGCUGCUGAAGCUGAAGCUGAAGAAGAAAGGUUGAAGAAAGAAUUUGAGGUUGAGGGGGCUAAUUUAUUGCCAAAAGAGAAGCCCGAGACAUCUGAUUCAAAUGUCAUCACCCCUGGUACUCCAUUCAUGGCGGUGCUUUCUGUAGCGCUUCAGUAUUAUGUACAGUCUAGGUUGAACCACAAUCCUGGCUGGAGGUUUACAAAGGUUAUUCUUUCUGAUUCAAAUGUUCCUGGUGAGGGAGAGCACAAAAUCAUGUCAUAUAUUCGUUUACAACGUAAUCUUCCUGGCUUUGAUCCAAACACCCAACAUUGUCUAUAUGGUCUGGAUGCUGAUCUGAUUAUGCUGUCUUUAGCUACACAUGAAGUCCACUUUUCUAUAUUGAGGGAGGUAAUUACUCCACCUGGGCAACAGGAAAAAUGUUUUUUAUGCGGUCAAGUUGGUCAUUUGGCAGCUGAGUGUAAUGGUGCGGGUAGUGGGUCUAAAGAUGCAAAUGGGAAUUUGGUAAAUGACGUUCCUAUUCACAAGAAAAAGUAUCAGUUCCUCAACAUAUGGGUUUUACGUGAGUACUUGCAGUAUGAUUUAGAGAUAGUCAGCCCUCCAUUUGCGUUAGACUUUGAAAGGCUGGUGGAUGAUUUUGUGUUUUUGUGCUUCUUUGUUGGCAACGACUUUCUACCUCAUAUGCCUACAUUAGAAAUUAGAGAGGGGGCUAUCAAUCUGCUGAUGGUUGUAUACAGAAGGGAGUUCACGGCAAUGGGUGGUUAUCUUACUGAAGAGGGUGAGGUUCUGCUGGACAGAGUUGAACACUUUAUUCAGGCUGUUGCUGUUCAUGAAGAUCAAAUUUUUCAAAAGCGUGCUCGUAUACAGCAGGCCAUAGAGAAUAAUGAAGAGAUGAAGCUUAAAGCAAGAGGAGAGAGCAACGAGGAGCCCCAGGCUCAAGUUGUGGAUAAGGUAAAGUUAGGGGAGCCUGGUUACAAAGAAAGGUACUAUUGUGAGAAAUUUGGAGUAUCAAAGCCAGUGGAGAUUGAUGAAGUCAGAAAUGAUGUAGUUCAGAAGUAUGUGGAGGGGUUAUGCUGGGUGUGUCGGUAUUACUACCAAGGUGUCUGCUCAUGGCAAUGGUUCUAUCCAUAUCAUUAUGCUCCAUUUGCUUCUGACCUUAAAGAUCUAGCUGAUUUAGAGAUUACAUUUUUUCUUGGGGUGCCAUUUAAACCCUUUGAUCAGCUCAUGGGUACCCUGCCAGCUUCAAGUUCAAGUGCUCUUCCUGAGAAGUACAGGAGCUUAAUGACUGAUCCAUCAUCGCCUAUUAUACAUUUCUACCCAUCUGAUUUUGAAGUUGACAUGCAUGGGAAGCGAUUUGCCUGGCAGGGUGUUGUGAAGUUGCCAUUCAUUGAUGAGAACAAAUUGCUUACUGCUACAAAGAAACUUGAAGAUUCGUUAACGGAAGAAGAGCGACAUCGUAAUAGUGUGAUGUGUGAUUUGCUCUAUGUCCACCCCCUCCAUCCUCUCGGUCCACAUGUUCUGUCAUACUAUCACCUGUCUGGUUUAGUGCCUCUAAAAGAGCGGCACCCUUGCGCUAUUGACACCAAUGCAAGUGGUGGAAUGAAUGGAUUUAUGUGGUUAACUGAGAGGAAUCGUAAGACACCAGUAGUUCCUUCCUCAGUUAAUGGAUUUCCAGAUAUCAUCAACAAUGAAACACUAAAUAUAACCUAUUUGAAUCCGUUACCUCAUAAGCACAUCCCAAGGCCUCCUGAUGGUACAGUAUUUCCUGAAAAGGUCCUAAGAGCAAUUGACAUUAAACCAUUCCCUGUGUUAUGGCAUGAAGAUGUUGGUAGCAAGCGCCAGCUAGGAAGAAAUAGGCCACAGGUACCUGGAGCAAUAGCUGGUCCUUCGCUGGGUGAAGCAGCACACCGUCUACUUAACAACACACUCAAUAUAAAUUCCAACUAUAAUUACUCUGGGGUGAGGGCACAAAAGGCUAACCAGAAUUUCCCAAGAAACCAUCUUACAGAUAGGCCGAGACCUGCUGGACCAUCAGGAUAUGAAAGGGGCUUCUCUGAGCAAAUGACUUAUCGAAGCGCUCUGGGCAACGAUGCAGUAAAUAAGCCUAGGCCUCCUGGACAAUCUGGAUAUGGAGGCUUUGUUGGGGAACCAAAUUAUGUCAAUGGAUAUCAUAAUUCUCGGGGCAUGUUGGGUGGUCAGGGAUAUGCUUCUUCACCAUUUGAGUUGCAGAGCUACAGGCAAAAUUUCAGGGCACAAUGUCGAUAUCCAAGUCAAGAUCAGUAUUACAACUUAAGGAAUGGAAUGACUACCCUGACAAUUGAAACUGGCGGUCGAACAAGGCCAAAUGCUGCAUUUUCUCCAAGGAUGCCAAAUUCAGUGCAGUCAUCUAAUACAGGCCACAUUCAUGUGCAGAAUGUCAGUCCACUUCCAUCACCUCCUUCAAAGUGGAUCAGCAAACCUGCUGCUGGAACAGCUUCAGGAUACGAGAAGCAAGUGAAAAAAGUUUAUCAAGUCAAAAGCCGACCCAGUCAGAAUUCAUCUGAUAUAGGAUCCAGUAAUGCUGUUGCAUAGGUUGGACUGUUUGCUGAUGUCAAGUGGACCUUUACGUAAUCUGUUUCAGUAGAGCAAGGAUGUCAAAAUAUUUGGUGCAUGAGUACAGGUCCUAGACUCUGGAUGAAACAAUUACGAACAGUUCGAAGCUUGUCGCUAUGUAAUCUUGUUUCAGAGAAAUAUCAGAAACAACGCUUGGUCUUCUGGUGCAGUUUGCGCUUUUAGAUGUCUCCACGUUACUUGCUUUGCUUCUAGUGAUUUUAUUGAAGAAUAUUGCAGAUGUUCGUUACCUGAGUUGGUAAUGCACGAGGAUCUCCAAUAGUGUUUUAUCUCACAAAAGAACUUACUCUCUGAACAUAGACUUGCUGUUAACAACAGGGUAUCAUAAGCAAGAUAUACAUGCUCGGUCGCUCUCAUGUUUCCUAUCAUUUGCCCAUGUGGUGCGGCGGGGCUUGGAGAUUUCAGUGUUAUUCACAAUCAACAGGAGUAUUCUAAACAGCUUGUGCGCUACAAAUAGAGAAACUUCAGUUAAGUUUCUGUUGUAGGAGCAUCCAAGAUAAAAAAUCCAAGAAACAAAGCCAGAUUUGAAGUGAUAUCCAAAAGACGCAGGAGCAACAGACAACCUAAGUUCCAUACCAUUUGCCAUUAGCUUGGCAUCUUCUGAGCCUACUCUCCAUACUGUAAGCUGGUAUCAGUGGCCAAAUUUAGGUUCUCAUUAAUGAUUUUAGCUACUCAUGAAGGAAUCUGUCUACGCAGGUAUUGUGUAAAUCUUACUAGAUGUGGAAGGUGCAAUUUAAGAAAAUCGUUGUUAUAUUCGUUUGCUAGAUGCAGGCUAGCUUUCAUAAUGCUUACAAUAUGCACAUCACUACCAGACGAGAUGUGGUACCCCUUAGAUCUACCUUUCUCCUUUCCAGUUGUGUAACUGUUUUAAGGGUAAGCAACAAAAGUCAUGGAGAAACAAGCUAACCAAUUUUUGACUUGAAUAUUUGAUUAGUUUCUUCC